rnacentral:rRNA from 1 species
CAAAUCUGAAAAAAGACGUCCCUAGUUCGGAUUGUAGGCUGAAACUCGCCUACAUGAAGCUGGAAUUGCUAGUAAUCACAGGUCAGCAUACUGUGGUGAAUACGUUCCCGGGCCUUGUACACACCGCCCGUCACACCAUGAGAGUUGAGAAUACCCGAAGCCUGUGAGCUAACUGUAAGGAGGCAGCAGUCGAAGGUAGAAUCAAUGAUUGGGGUGAAGUCGUAACAAGGUAAC